rnacentral:misc_RNA from 1 species
UACAGAGGGUGCAAGCGUUAGUCGGAAUUACUAGGCGUAAAGCGCGCGUAGGUGGUGGGUUAAGUUGGAUGUGAAAGCCCCGGGCUCAACCUGGGAACUGCAUCCAAAACUGGCCGACUAGAGUACAGUAGAGUGUGGUGGAAUUGCCUGUGUAGCGGUGAAAUGCGUAGAUAUAGGAAGGAACACCAGUGGCGAAGGCGACCCCCUGGACUGAUACUGCCACUGAGGUGCGAAAGCGUGGGGAGCAAACAGG